ACCUAGAUAGUUUAAAAGAAUGUGAAAUUGUGAUUUUCAAGGCACCCUCGUGGUUUUAGGUA
rnacentral:tRNA from 1 species